UACGAAGGGGGCUAGCGUUGCUCGGAAUCACUGGGCGUAAAGGGUGCGUAGGCGGCUUAUCAAGUCAGGCGUGAAAUUCCCGGGCUCAACCUGGGGGCUGCGCUUGAUACUGAUUGGCUUGAAUGCGGGAGAGGAUAGUGGAAUUCCCAGUGUAGAGGUGAAAUUCGUAGAUAUUGGGAAGAACACCGGUGGCGAAGGCGGCUAUCUGGCCCGUAAUUGACGCUGAGGCGCGAAAGCGUGGGGAGCAAACAGG
rnacentral:rRNA from 1 species